rnacentral:tRNA from 1 species
GGCCUAUUAGUUCAUUUAGUUAGAACGUCAUGCUAAUAAUGCGAAAGCUGCAUGUUUGAGACCUGCAUGAGCCA